GAAUUGAAUAGGGCCAAGAGCAACGAUCAGGACACAAGCAAGAACAGAGAUUGAGCUGUCUCUGAUGACUUGAGACGAACCCAUCAUGCUCGAUUGUCUUGAGCCCAUCCGGUACCAGCUUCCCGUGUGUAUGAAAGGUCGUCGCAGAUCAUUAUUCCUGGCCUCCUCUGUAUCACUCAUCUUUCUUAUGUAUAUCAAAAGCUUCAAGCUUUAGCCUCAAGGCAAGAAAGAAACCUCCUUUUGGAGUUUUUUUUUUUGCUCGGUUUAGAGGAUCUAGAAACUGGGUUUUUGAUGACCAAGCUGCUUUGGAUAAAAAGGGAUUUUAAGAGACGCCGUCUUGUUAUGAAAAAAGUCGAAAAAGGAAGAUAAUUUGGGUGUAAUGCAGUGAUUAAUUGCUGGUGAGACAAGAGGAGACUUGUUCUGAUAGUUCUUUUUUUUUUUUUUUUUUUUUAAGAUCACAACAGGUUGCGUCGUCGCAUAAACCAAAUUUGGACAAAAUUAAAGGUUUUUUUAGAUAGCGGAUAAUUUAUUUUUAUAUUUUUUGCUAAAACUAACAAAUAUUUAGACAAAAUAAAAUAUAAUAUUUCUUUGAAUAAUGUGUCAUAUGGUAAAGAUAAUUAUUACACAAUGUUUUUGGAUGAUGAAUAAUUUACUACGUAGAUCUUUUGCUAAAACUAAAAACAUACUAUAGUCAUCAGGAUUUGCUAGAAAGAUAAUGCAAAUUUUGAAUAGAAUAUGUUGCCAAUAAAUAUGAAUUAUUUUAUGGUGUUUUGGAUAAUUUAUAUCCAUUUUUUAAUGACCAGCUAGUAUUUUUUUAUUUUUUUUGGUAUUUAUCAAUUUUGGUCGGAAUUGCAGCAAUCAUCAGAGACUGUCCAAGACAACACACAAACAAUAAAAGGGUCUAAGUAAAGCAAGUAAAGAUGUCAUUAGCUGGAUCAAGAUUCAAAAUUAGACAAAGCUAUACCCCUUUUCUUCCAAUGUAUUCUGCAAUCUGACCACUGGCAAUUGCACCAACCAUAGCUCCCACAUUGGAUAGAGAACCAAACACAGAGUACUAAUACAUGGAACAAGAGAUCAAAGUCAGACCACGGUAAAAAAACAAACAGAGAUUGGUUUAUUAUUACCUCGGAUACAGUUAAACCGAGAUCUUUAGUGAUUGCAGCUUGUGUCGGAGAAGAAUAACCACACUGAAACCCAAAAAAGAUACAAAUCAGUCAACAACUUUCUACAAAUGGAAAAAAAGAAAAAAGGUUUGAGACUUUCUUCAACUUACAGUGAAACCGAAUUGAAUAGGGCCAAGAGCAACGAUCAGGACACAAGCAAGAACAGAGAUAGAGCUGUCUCUGAUGACUUGAGACGAACCCAUCAUGCUCGAUUGUCUUGAGCCCAUCCGGUACCAGCUUCCCGUGUGUAUGAAAGGUCGUCGCAGAUCAUUAUUCCUGGCCUCCUCUGUAUCACUCAUCUUUCUUAUGUAUAUCAAAAGCUUCAAGCUUUAGCCUCAAGGCAAGAAAGAAACCUCCUUUUGGAGUUUUUUUUUUUGCUCGGUUUAGAGGAUCUAGAAACUGGGUUUUUGAUGACCAAGCUGCUUUGGAUAAAAAGGGAUUUUAAGAGACGCCGUCUUGUUAUGAAAAAAGUCGAAAAAGGAAGAUAAUUUGGG
rnacentral:lncRNA from 1 species